rnacentral:rRNA from 1 species
UACGUAGGGUGCGAGCGUUGUCCGGAAUUAUUGGGCGUAAAGGGCUCGUAGGCGGUUUGUCACGUCGGGAGUGAAAACUCGGGGCUCAACCCCGAGCCUGCUUCCGAUACGGGCAGACUAGAGGUAUGCAGGGGAGAAUGGAAUUCCUGGUGUAGCGGUGAAAUGCGCAGAUAUCAGGAGGAACACCGGUGGCGAAGGCAGGUCUCUGGGCAUUAACUGACGCUGAGGAGCGAAAGCAUGGGGAGCGAACAGG